GAGAAGAACGUAGCGAAAUGCGAUAAGUAAUGUGAAUUGCAGAAUUCAGUGAAUCAUCGAAUCUUUGAACGCACAUUGCGCCCGCCAGCAUUCUGGCGGGCAUGCCUGUUCGAGCGUCAUUUCAACCCUCGACUUCCCUUUGGGGAAAUCGGCGUUGGGGACCGGCUGUAUACCGCCGGCCCCGAAAUGAAGUGGCGGCCCGUCCGCGGCGACCUCUGCGUAGUAAUCCAACUCGCACCGGAACCCCGACGUGGCCACGCCGUAAAACCCCCGACUUCUGAACGUUGACCUCGGAUCAGGUAGGAAUACCCGCUGAACUUAAGCAUAUCAAUAAGCGGAGGA
rnacentral:misc_RNA from 1 species